CGGGGGGUGCAAGCGUUGCUCGGAAUCACUGGGCGUAAAGCGUCCGCAGGCGGCUUGAUAAGUCGGGUGUGAAAGCCCGGGGCUCAACCCCGGAACUGCAUUCGAAACUGUCUGGCUUGAGUACGGGAGAGGGUCGUGGAAUUCCUGGUGUAGAGGUGAAAUUCGUAGAUAUCAGGAGGAACACCGGUGGCGAAAGCGGCGACCUGGCCCGAUACUGACGCCCAUGGACGAAAGCGUGGGGAGCAAACAGGAUUAGAUACCCUGGUAGUCCACGCCGUAAACGAUGGAUGCUAGCUGGUGGGUCUUCUACCGACUCGUCAGCGUCGCUAACGCAUUGAGCAUCCCGCCUGGGGAGUACGGUCGCAAGACUA
rnacentral:rRNA from 1 species